rnacentral:rRNA from 1 species
UACGUAGGGUGCGAGCGUUUGUCCGGAAUUAUUGGGCGUAAAGAGCUUGUAGGCGGUUUGUCGCGUCUGCCGUGAAAAUCCGGGGCUCAACCCCGGACUUGCGGUGGGUACGGGCAGACUAGAGUGUGGUAGGGGAGACUGGAAUUCCUGGUGUAGCGGUGAAAUGCGCAGAUAUCAGGAGGAACACCGAUGGCGAAGGCAGGUCUCUGGGCAUUAACUGACGCUGAGGAGCGAAAGCAUGGGGAGCGAACAGG